rnacentral:rRNA from 1 species
UACGUAGGGCGCAAGCGUUGUCCGGAAUUAUUGGGCGUAAAGAGCUCGUAGGCGGUUUGUCGCGUCUGCCGUGAAAGUCCGGGGCUCAACUCCGGAUCUGCGGUGGGUACGGGCAGACUAGAGUGAUGUAGGGGAGACUGGAAUUCCUGGUGUAGCGGUGAAAUGCGCAGAUAUCAGGAGGAACACCGAUGGCGAAGGCAGGUCUCUGGGCAUUAACUGACGCUGAGGAGCGAAAGCAUGGGGAGCGAGCAGG